GCUAUAUUAACAAUUAGCUAGUUGGUGGAGUAAUAGCCUACCAAGGCAAUGAUCUAUAGCUGAUCUGAGAGGAUGAUCAGCCACACUGGAACUGAGAUACGGUCCAGACUCCUACGGGAGGCAGCAGUGGGGAAUAUUGGACAAUGGGCGAAAGCCUGAUCCAGCCAUGCCGCAUGAGUGAAGAAGGCCUUUGGGUUGUAAAGCUCUUUUAGUGAGGAAGAUAAUGACGGUACUCACAGAAGAAGUCCUGGCUAACUCCGUGCCAGCAGCCGCGGUAAUACGGAGAGGGCUAGCGUUAUUCGGAAUUAUUGGGCGUAAAGGGCGCGUAGGCUGAUUAAUAAGUUAAAAGUGAAAUCCCGAGGCUUAACCUUGGAAUUGCUUUUAAAACUAUUAAUCUAGAGAUUGAAAGAGGAUAGAGGAAUUCCUGAUGUAGAGGUAAAAUUCGUAAAUAUUAGGAGGAACACCAGUGGCGAAGGCGUCUAUCUGGUUCAAAUCUGACGCUGAGGCGCGAAGGCGUGGGGAGCAAACAGGAUUAGAUACCCUGGUAGUCCACGCUGUAAACGAUGAAUGUUAAAUAUGGGAAGUUUACUUUCCUGUAUUACCGGCUAGGC
rnacentral:rRNA from 1 species